AGGACUUGCUUGAUUCUAGGGUUUCUCACUUUCUGCAAGUUAGAUCAUAAAUGGUCAGAACUUUUAAUCCGAUUUGUAUGUGAUGGAUAAUUAAAGGGAAAUUGAUGGAUUGAUUUGACAUUUAUAGAGCCGAGUCUGGAGGUGAUGUUGAGAAUGCGGCUGACGGAAGGAGAACGACGAAAGAAAGGUAAGAGAGCUUGGGUGAGGAGCUUGGCGCCAUAGAAGUUGAUCUUCAUCACUGUCUCUGCGUGAUCUACUGUGUUUUCCUCUAUGUCG
rnacentral:lncRNA from 1 species